GAACAAGGAAAGGAUUGCUAGCCGAUCGCGUUGCCAAAGAUGGCGAGGCACACCGGUGACAGGACACCGUGGCCGUGGCGUCACGCGGCGCGGGCCGAAUAAAUGUGGCGCCGCCGGCUGAGCUUGAAAUGGAAAAAAGGCGUUUCUUGGCGGCACUCUCUCGUCGCCGUCGUCGGCGCCACGCGGCGCGCGAGCCGUGCGUUUUUGUCAACGGCCAUCAGCUCCGGAUUGCAUGGACACUGCAGCAGCGUCGGUGGACGGUGCGAUGCCGGCCGCCUGGCGAGCGCAGUGACGACG
rnacentral:lncRNA from 1 species